CUGCCUUUCUCUGAAGAACUACUGAGGGGAGGAGACAGCCAGGUGAGGAGAAACUGUUCUUAUCUAUCGAUUCAGGAUUUUUAUCAUACUGACAUCAGGCUGUUGUGCUAUUAGCUAGCUGCUAGCUAACGACUUUGCUAGCAAACUAAAAAGCUUCUUCCCUGUAUUGUUAAUAUCAGUCAUUGUUCAGUAAUGAUUAUGAUAUAGGGGAACAUCGCCCGUCCAAAACCGAUCAUCUCCGUAAUGGAUAAAUGUCUAAUUUCCUUUGCUGCAUAAAGUACAUUGCAUUUAUUCUGGCGUUAGGUAAAUGUGUCUUGAAGGAGAAUGUUAGGUACCAGGUUGGGUUUUCUUCUUUUUCAGCUCUGACCAUCUGAGGGCGCCAGAGGCUGUUUCCUUGUCCUUGGUGGGUGUGUCAGCAGGCUCCGCGGUACGCACCUGGCUCCAAUCGUCAUCUAGAGGAGUAUUUAAGCGGCAGGCUCCCGCUCUUCACCGCCAGAGUGUUUUACCUAUUGUGGACAUCUUCAAGUUUUCCCCGGAGAACUCCUGUUGUCGAGCCUAGAGGGUAGUCCCCUCACGACGCUGGGAGCGAGACUCACCGGGAACUGGAGUCCUCCCACAUCCCUCUGUUUAAGAGCCCGCUGUGCGCCUCCGGCUGGAGUCCGCCCCGAAGACUCCUGGUCUCUCACUCUCACGAGUCGUUCCCUUCCUCGUCCCUCUCCGAGUCAGCCUCUACGCCUAGCCGCAACCUGGUACCGGAACCUUCCCCCAACCAGAAUUCUUUAUCACAAGUAAGCUGCGAACCCAUACAAGUUGCCAGAUUUCCUACGGUCAUUAAACUCACCUCCACUCUCCCCUGUGUGCAGCCGUGCCAGUCCUUCCACUGCAGCUUCCCGACUGUGGAUGUUUUGAACUUUAUUGUCAAUAAACAUCUAAAGUUUCAUUCUGCCUCUCUGUGAGUUUCUGCAUGUGGGCUCAAAAACUAAAACCCAGCAUGACA